rnacentral:rRNA from 1 species
UCAGCAGCCCGCGGUAAUUCCAGCUCUGUAAGCGUAUACCAAAGUUGUUGCAGUUAAAACGCUCGUAGUCGGAGUUUGGCGUGGGACCAGGGGCGUCUUCACGGACGUGUUUUGGUUGGGCGCCUUUGUGGAGGGGGGCUGAGUGGUGCUUCAGUGCGCUACUUAGUCGCUGCCACCUUUUACUGUGAAAAAAUUAGAGUGUUCAAAGCGGGCGUUUGCCAUGAAUACAUUAGCAUGGAAUAAUAGAAUAGGACCUGGCUCCUGUUUUGUUGGUUUGUGAGGAUCGGGUAAUGAUUAAGAGGGACGGUUGGGGGCAUUUGUAUUCCGGCGUCAGAGGUGAAAUUCUUGGAUUGUCGGAAGACAAACGGCUGCGAAAGCGUCUGCCAAGGACGUUUUCAUUGAUCAAGAACGAAAGUAAGGGGAUCGAAGACGAUCAGAUACCGUCGUAGUCUUUACUAUAAACGAUGAGGACUGGGGAUCGGGCAGGACUGACUUUUGGCCUGCCCGGCACCCUUCGGGAAACCAAAGUGUUUGCUUUCUGGGGGGAGUAUGGUCGCAAGGCUGAAACUUAAAGGAAUUGACGGAAGGGCAUCACCGGGUGUGGAGCCUGCGGCUUAAUUUGACUCAACACGGGA